GAUUUCAACUGAAAAAGUCAUCAACAACAAAGUUAUAUAACUCAUCAAGAUCUAUAACUUUUAUUUUGGUCAUUUCUUCAUCCGACAAAGUGAUAGUAACAUUGUUCACAAAAUUUGCAUCUAUCUCAUAUGUAAACUUUGUGAACAAUAUUAUUAUCAAUUUAUCAGAUGAAGAAAUGACCAAAAUAAAAGUUGUAUGUCUUGAUGAGCUCUGCAACUUUCAUGUUCAUGACUUUUUCAACUGAAAUU
rnacentral:pre_miRNA from 1 species